rnacentral:rRNA from 1 species
AGAGUUUGAUCAUGGCUCAGGAUGAACGCUAGCUACAGGCUUAACACAUGCAAGUCGAGGGGAAACGACAUCGAAAGCUUGCUUUUGAUGGGCGUCGACCGGCGCACGGGUGAGUAACGCGUAUCCAACCUGCCCAUCACUUGGGGAUAACCUUGCGAAAGUAAGACUAAUACCCAAUGAUAUCUCUAGAAGGCAUCUGAAAGAGAUUAAAGAUUUAUCGGUGAUGGAUGGGGAUGCGUCUGAUUAGCUUGUUGGCGGGUAACGCCACCAAGCAACGAUCGAGUAGGGUCUGAGACGGAAGGUCCCCCANAUUGGAACUGAGACACGGUCCAAACUCCUACAGGAGGCA